CCCCUCACGCGUGCCCGCCAGAGGGGGUGGUUUGAAGUCUCUGGAGGCUCGGGUGGCCGUGAGGUGAUCUUUGGCUUUUGGGAGCUUCGUUGCGUGGGGCAAGUUUUUCCUCAGAUGUUUACGUUACCGGUGAACACUGGAGAGGAGAAAGUGAAGCGUAGGCACAUGAGGUGCAAGGCGUGUGACUUCAGAGCCCUUUGAAGACGUUCCAGGGUGUACUUAACGCUUUGUGAGCGUUAAUCCUACAAUUAAUUAUCACACAAAGAAGCUAAAGCACUUUAAAGCUUUGCGGUUAUUUUACGAAGGUUCCCCUGUGCUACUGUAUAGAGGCAGAACUAACACAAGCCCCUAGUAUCUGUGCGUGCUGUUGUAUCAGUGACCUCCAAAGAAGGAAAAAAAAGAAUUAAAGUGGCAAAGGAAUCAUACAGAGGAGUCUGAGGAGGGUACUGAAAGCACUCCCCAGAGGCCUUUGCUGACUGCGACAGUGACAUUGUGUGUAUUACAAGCAAAUAUAGUAGUUUGGCUGUAAUCUUAGCUCCUACUGCCCACACAGAUUCAUGAACUGUCUUGUCUUAACCUUGCAUGUUGGCAACUGGGAAGCUUGAAAGAAUAAAUGACAUAAAAAGAAACAAGAAUGCUGACAGAAGACGAAGCAAGAAACAAUAGCUUCACAUUCAGUUCAGGAAGAGUGAGUUGUUUUGUUUUUUUCCUGUUCAUCCUUCUGGUAUGUCAAAAAGGCCUCCUUCACAAAUACAUGGGACUAGACAGAGAGUCAGUGAGUAAAUCCAUCCGUUUUGUACUCUGCUGGCAACGUUGUUUGAAUCGCUGAAGGAGACGGUGUGCUCCUUCCUUGGCCCCAGUGCAGCAGAGCCUUGGAAGGAGUUCUUUUAAAGAGCCUCCAACAGCAUGAGCAAGCAGCUAACAUUUGCCUUUCCAAUCAUGUACGUUCCGAAAGUACAAGGAGAGGAUGAGACAGGACAGGAAGGAGAGGACCUGGAGGAAAGCCUAGAACAAACACCGGAGGAGCGUGUACAAUUGCUGGAGCAGAACAUGGCUGAGCAGAACAGAGAAGGAGGUUUGGUGGACAAUGGAGACUACAAGGUUUGAGUUCCUGUGGCUUGGAGUAUCAUGAACCACAACUAACUGGCUGAAGUAUGAAAAUUGCUGAAGGGCAUUUUCUAUCACACUUUGGGCAGCUGCACAUGAAAUUGAUGGAAAAUUACCUUUCCAAGUUUAAGCUACAUCUAAGCUACAUCCGGCAAGUUGAUCAAGAUUCAAUCUACACCAAACCUUUAUCAACAAAAAUAAUAAUCAGAACAGUUGCUGUCUGGAAAACAAAAAAUGUCCUGUCUGUACGUCAUCCUAUUCUGCUGUAGCUAUUCACUGAUAUAUGCAGUGCUGAAUUCUUUGGGUGUAAAAGUAGGUACUGUGUUCACACAGAACAUCUGUCUUUAUCUCACUGGCUCAUGACAUAUCAUGAGCAUCUGUCUUAUGGAUAUUGCAGCUUCAUUGUUAGCUCCUCUCAUCCAAUCUUUUAUUUUGGGUAAUGAUGGGUUUUGCGAAUGCAAACCAUUUGCCACUGACUUUGUUUUUUUAUUAGGAGUGACUUAUGUUUCCAGUCCAUCCCUUAAAUUUUAGGACAACACAACAUUUAUCAUAGUGACAAAAUGAUUUAAAUCACUGUUGACACUGCCACUUUGGCAUCAUUAUAAAUACCUUGGUUCCACAGGAUUCAGGCUGUGUGAUGAACUCCAAUAAAUUUCUUCCUUAAUAUUGUCAGAGCUUGAAAUGAAAAUGUGUGCAAUAAGGAAAAGACAGAAUUGUUAAGGUGUCAUACUUAUCGCUUUGAAAUAAAUGGUGAGUUUUUUU